UAGGGAAUCUUCCACAAUGGACGCAAGUCUGAUGGAGCAACGACGCGUGAGUGAAGAAGGUUUUCGGAUCGUAAAGCUCUGUUGUUGGUGAAGAAGGAUAGAGGUAGUAACUGGCCUUUAUUUGACGGUAAUCAACCAGAAAGUCACGGCUAACUACGUGCCAGCAGCCGCGGUAAUACGUAGGUGGCAAGCGUUGUCCGGAUUUAUUGGGCGUAAAGCGAGCGCAGGCGGAAGAAUAAGUCUGAUGUGAAAGCCCUCGGCUUAACCGAGGAACUGCAUCGGAAACUGUUUUUCUUGAGUGCAGAAGAGGAGAGUGGAAUUCCAUGUGUAGCGGUGGAAUGCGUAGAUAUAUGGAAGAACACCAGUGGCGAAGGCGACUCUCUGGUCUGCAACUGACGCUGAGGCUCGAAAGCAUGGGUAGCGAACAGG
rnacentral:rRNA from 1 species